CCUACGGGUGGCAGCAGUGAGGAAUAUUGGUCAAUGGACGAGAGUCUGAACCAGCCAAGUAGCGUGCAGGAUGACUGCCCUAUGGGUUGUAAACUUCUUUUAUAUGGGAAUAAAAUGUUCCACGUGUGGGUUUUUGUAUGUACCAUAUGAAUAAGGAUCGGCUAACUCCGUGCCAGCAGCCGCGUUAAUACGGAGGAUCCGAGCGUUAUCCGGAUUUAUUGGGUUUAAAGGGAGCGUAGAUGGAUUGUUAAGUCAGUUGUGAAAGUUUGCGGCUCAACCGUAAAAUUGCAGUUGAUACUGGCAGUCUUGAGUACAGUAGAGGUGGGCGGAAUGCGUGGUGUAGCGGUGAAAUGCUUAGAUAUCACGAAGAACUCCGAUUGCGAAGGCAGCUCACUGGACUGCAACUGACACUGAGGCUCGAAAGUGUGGGUAUCAAACAGGAUUAGAGACCCGAGUAGUC
rnacentral:rRNA from 1 species